rnacentral:rRNA from 1 species
GUGCCAGCAGCCGCGGUAAUACGGAGGGUGCAAGCGUUAUCCGGAUUCACUGGGUUUAAAGGGAGCGUAGGCGGAACGAUAAGUCAGUGGUGAAAGCCCCGAGCUCAACUUGGGAAUUGCCAUUGAUACUGUUGUUCUUGAGUUCGGUUGAGGUAGGCGGAAUGUUACAUGUAGCGGUGAAAUGCUUAGAUAUGUAACAGAACACCGAUUGCGAAGGCAGCUUACCAAGCCGACACUGACGCUGAGGCUCGAAAGCGUGGGGAUCAAACAGGAUUAGAUACCCUGGUAGUCC